GAGAGUUUGAUUCGGCUCGAUUAGACACUGGCGGGAUGCUUUACAUGCAAGUCGAACGGCAGCACGGGACUUCGGUCUGGUGGCGAGUGGCGAACGGGUGAGUAAUGUAUCCGGAACGGCGUGCUAGUAGCGGGGGAUAACUACGCGGCGUAGCUAAUACUGCAUACACCCUUCAAGGGAAGCGGGGACCUUCGGGCCCCGCACUAUUAAACGGCCCGAUAUCGGAUUAGCUAGUUGGAGUAACGGCUCACCAAGGCGACGAUCCGUAGCUGGUUUGAGAGGACGACCAGCCACGCACUGGGACUGAAUGCGGCCAGACUCUACGGGAGGUAGCAGGUGGGGAGUUACAGACAAUGCGGGAAGCCUGAUCAGCCAUCGCGUGUGCGAUGAAGGCCGGGUUGUAAAGCACUUUUGGCAGGAAAGAAACGGCACGGGAUAAUACCCGAUGCAACUGACCGACACCUGCAGAAUAAGCACCGGCUAACUACGUGCCAGCAGCUUAGCGAUAAUACGUAGGGUGCAGAAAGUUAAUCGGAAUUACUGGGGCGUAAAGCGUGCGCAGGCGGUUCGGAAAGAAAGAUGUGAAAUCCCAGGCUUAACUGGAACUGCACUGUUUCCGCUACCGAGCUAGAGUGUGUCAGAGGGAGGUGGAAUUCCGCGUGUAGCAGUGAAAUGCGUAGAUAUGCGGGAGAACACCGAUGGCGAAGGCAGCCUCCUGGGAUAACACUGGCGCUCAUGCACGAAAGCGUGGGGAGCAAACAGGAUUAGAUGCCCUGGUAGUCCACGCCGCCCCUAAACGAUAAUAAUAAUGUUGGACCUUCAAGACUGGUAGCGCAACUAACGUGAAGUUGACCAUACAGAAUACGGUCGCAAGAUUAAAACGCUCAAAGGAAUUGACGGGGACCCGCACAAGCAGUGGAUGAUGUGGAUUAAUUCGAUGCAACGCGAAAAAACCUUACCUACCCUUGACAUGUCUGGAAUCCCGAAGAGAUUUGGGGAGUGCUCGCAAGGGGCGAACCGCAGGUACCAUGGCUGUCGUCAGCUCGUGUCGUGAGAUGUUGGGUUAAGUCCCGCAACGAGCGCAACCCUUGUCAUUAGUUGCUACCCGAAAGGGCCACUCUAAUGAGACUGCCGGUGACAAACCGGAGGAAGGUGGGGAUGACCGUCAAGUCCUCAUGGCCCUUAUGGGUAGGGCUUCACACGUCAUACAAUGGAUGGGGACAGAGGUCGCCAACCCGCGAGAGGAGACCAAUCAGAAACCCCGAUCGUAGUCCGGAUAUAGUCACAAAUCAGUGACUGCGUAUGGAGAGUCGGUCGCUAGUAAUCGCGGAUCAGCAUGUCCGCGGUGGGCCACGUUCGGUUGUAUGCACCUGCCGUACACUACAUGGGUGGUUUUACCAGAGUAGUUAGCUAACCGUAAGGGAGGGCGAUUACCACGGUAGGAUUCAUGAUAUGACUGGGCAAAGUCGUAAGGCCAA
rnacentral:rRNA from 1 species